GUUUACAGGUUUAGUCAAUCUGAAUGCUGCUGUUAUUCACAGAAGCCUGAUUUUAACAAAAUACUUGCACUUUUGCGGUAGAAAAAUUUACAUGUCGUUGCAUGUGACCGAAGCUCAGUGCACUGAUAAGACCGGGUUUGGAAGGAUGGGUACUGAAAUCUUAGAAUGAUUGGGAACAGAUUGGAUGCAAAGUUGUCACAUGCAGUCAGAGUUCAAAAAUGUAGGUCACUAAUUGGAAUACAUCUUUAACAAGUGCUAGUUAGGUACGCCAUGGAUUUCAGUCACUACAACGGGACCCCAGAUGGGCUUUUCACCAAUAGCUUUCAGUCUAAAUGCCGAAUACGUUGCCAUGGAUCCAGGAUCCAGGUUGGAGAACGGGAAUUUAUUUCUGCUUCGGAGGCCCUUCAGGCAUACAUGGACCAAUAUGCGGGCCUAAAGCCCAAGGGAGAUAAGUAUGAUAUGAAUGUGACAGACCUACUGGAUCCCAAGUCUGUGUUACACCAGACAGCAGAACGGUCCUUAAAGACGGGGGUGCGUGCUACACCCACGGAGCUGAAACUGGCCCAAUCCAGGGAUUCCAUCAACAACUCCUACGACCGGAUGAACAAGUCCAGUGCCUUGAGGGCAGAAGGAUCGACUGGGCGGCGUUCAAGGGGUAAGAUGUGUAUUGUGACUCAGUUAUUAUGUCAUAGUGUGUACUGUCGACCAACUUACUGCUUGUCAUUUUAUGAUGGAAAAAAAAAGUUUGGAAAAUCAAAUCUCAAUAUGCAGUAGCCAUUGGAACCAUUUAAAAUCUUGUAAAUAGAUGAUAUCUGUCUAAAAAUACAUAGCAAUAAACUGUCACUGGACCAAAGUACGACUUCAAGAUACAAAGGUGCUGCAGGGUUAGGAGAUACAUUGUAUAAUGUCAUUCUGAAUACUUCGUUGUACAUACCUACAUUAAUGUAAAUGUACAUGUAUGAGAUUCAGCUAAGUUGGUUCACAGUAGAAGUAGUAGGGUUUUUGGGAUCAACAUCUAAUAUUUUAUCUACUGUCACUUAUUUCAACAAGUUCACAAAGCAUUUAUUGGUUCACCAGGAAUAAAUCAAAGUCCCUAUGGGCUUAUAAUUAUUCUGUGGUGUGCCAACUGUCGUCUGUCUAUCUGACACAAACUUUUUAACAGCUUCUUUGAUAGAACUAUAAAGCCUAUGGUUAUGAUGAUUGGCGCAUACACUGGAUAAUUGGCUAUCAAGUUUGUGCAAAUGAAUUUCCUAAACCUUAUUAAGGUCAUGGGUCAAGACUCAAAAGUGUGGAGUAGUGAAACAUAUUAAUACCAUGAAUGACUUCGACCAACAUUCAAGGUCAUGGGACUCAAAUGGGUUGAAAUCUUUAGUGAUUUCUUCUAAUGAUCUAUAUGGCCUAGUGCAUUUCUGUGGGUUUAAUAUUGUCUUUUAGGUUGCUGAGUGGAGUGCUAUCGAUAUUGUUUAAAGAAAUGAAAUUGACACAUAUUCAAUGUUGCAAGGGAAAAACUUGAAUUUGUAACUUCUAACAAACCAUGAGGUCAAAAGUAAUGUUAUGUUGUUAUUUGGUCUGUAUCUUGCUUGGAUUUGUUCAAAUGAGUUAAAUCGACCGAAAUUUCCGGUGAGCAACACAGGAGCCAUAUGCUGUACACUUGGGGCUCUUGUAAAAUUAGUUGUCAUGAAUUUGCUCCUGCAUUAUAAACUUUACUAUACUGUAUAACAUGAAAGGUUUGCUGUGUAUACAGAUAUAUUUACUUUAGUUUAUGGUGUUCAUGAUGCAGUGGACUACAAUUACAAGUACAGCAUAUUACACAUGUGGCUGGCUAAUACUAGCAGACCUUGAAAAUUCAUCAUCGACAGAACAGUUUCAAUCAUUCAACCAAGGGAGAAACACAAACUUUUAAUGUUGUAUAGUAUAACUCACAGUAGAAUAAUUAACAUAAAAUGCUUUGUGAAUUUACAUAUCAUGUAUCUGACUUUUAACUACUUAUUAAAUGCUAAUCUUAGAGAGUUCAUUCCAAUCUUUGACAUUAAAAUUUAUGAUCUAUGAUAAAAAGAAAGCAACAAAAUAAAUGGUACUUGUUUAAAUAUGUAUCUCAAGUAAUCAUGAAAUUGUCAUCACCAAGGUAUUGUAAAACCUCUUUGGCAAAGUGUGGAAUGAACACUGUCUAAUUUUCAUUUAGUAUCAGUAAUCUAUAUAUCAAAUUUAUGGCUACAGUGUUAUGAAUAAUAUGUUUAGAUUCAAUUGAAUAUAUUAAAAAGGUUAAUCAAUUCAGUUCGUAUUUUUUGGCAAUCAAUAUCAAUAGUUUGGAAAUUUAAAAGUGAAUCAACAUUGUCCAGUACAGAAUAGAUAAACCAUCUCAUUUACCGGUACCUUAAACAAUAAAGCGAAGGGUUAUCACAAGACAGAAGCAGAUUGACAAAACUUGUGAUGUACUGUGGGGUUAUGUAACUACAUUAUUUAUGAGUGUGAAUUUUUUCUGGCUUGUUAGGGAGAAAGGUUAAGAUUUCUGGCCGUAAAGGUGGUGCUGGUAUGUGAAAUCUCAAGCUUUUUGAUGUUGUCUUUAUAAGAUGUUGAUAAGAGUAAUUUAAGUGUUGAUUGUAUGGGUUGCAUGUUUUCAUUGUACACUAUUUAAAAUUAAAUGUAGUAAAUACACAUGCAUAUAUGUAGGAAGCAAGACUGUACAAACUGUACCGUAUUUUCUCAAAACACGAUAAAGAUAGUGUUCUGUUCUUUGAAUUUUUAGUUUAAAGUCAAUCUGUUAUAUUUUUUAAAGGCCAUUAUUUAAUUAUUUUGAUUAAAUUAGCACAAAUUCAGCUUUAGAGAUCUAUAUUAAUGUUUACAUCCAGUUUCUCACUCUGCACCAAUACAUGAUCGUGAUAAAUUUAAAUUGAUGCUUAGGAUUACAAUACAUUUUGUAUUCAGUAUAUAUAAGACAAUGUAGAAGUUUACAAGUUUCGUUUAAAAUAUGUCAAGUCAUAGCACCAUUCCCUAUAAGUAUAAGCUUACCUAGUAAAUUUCUUGGAAAAAAAGAAAAAGUCAUUAAUAAUUGGUGGAAUUUAAAAAAUCUUCUUUUAAUUCUCAGCUGCAAUAGCCAUUACCUUUAGGGUUGAAGUUUAGAUUGAUUUAAGAUAUGAUUGAGAUUAUUUAGCUUCAUUCACUUGAACUGUGAAUUCUUCAUUGUGAUGAAUGUUACAGCCUUACUUUUAGCUCCUCAGGGCUACAGACUUUAUAGGUUUUAUCAAACAUUUUAUCUGGGGAAAAUUCGGUCAUAAAACAUGAAAAUCUCAUUGUCAUAUAUCCAGGAUUUUGAAAGACUAGAGCAAUAAAUACCAAUGCUAAUAUUCUUGUUGUAUGAUCUUUGCAUACAGCAUAUAUAGGCUCAUUGGGGGACUCGGUCUGACCCUGCCUAUCGAUGUUACCACAGUACAUGUUCCAGAGUGUACAGGUUGAUAUCGUAACCUGCAGUUCAUAUAUAUAUAUACUAUCUCUGUAUGACACGUACUUCUCACUUCUUUUUGUUUUAAUUCUUCCUUACAAUAUAUAUUCAUUUGUUAUCAUCACUUUUUUUCUAUGCACAAUUUAUGUUUGUAUUACUUCACGCACAUGGUUAGAUGUUUGGAUGAUAUUCAAUUCCAUGUCACUUCAUUUUAUUUCAACUAACAAUAUUGAUGCACAAUUUACAUGUAUGAUAAGGUUAUCGUCUAUAUCGCCUUCAUUGUCUUUGUAAUUAUCAUUAUCUAGGUCAACUUUGUAAGAAAACCUUAAUUUGCAAGUUUGUGUUAAAAGUGAUCAUGUCUUUCCUAUGUUUUUCCUGGUUCCUCUUGAUUUUUUGUUGAAUUGUUUUGUAAUCAUGUGAAUAGUCAUACAUGUUUAUGUUUUUUUCUUAGAAAUUUCACUGAGUAUAAUUUCUGAAGGUUUUUUCCACCUUCCAUCACUUUGCUCCCUACUUGUGUAUUGUACCAUAAGGACUUGCAUGAAUUGUCUUCUUUGGAAAUCACUGAAUUGAAGUUAGGGUCAAAUUUCAAUAUAUAUUAAGUUAUUGCAGUAUAGAACGGAUAGUACAUGUAUUAAGAUUUGUCAGAAAAUACCUUAGCUUUUUCAUUUUGUAACCAAGGUUCCAAAACAAUGACCAAGGCGUCGAUAAGUACUCCGCACAGAUUUUAAUGACUUGAUAAUCGUUUCAUGGUAUAUAAACGGAAACCUGCAAAAUGGAAAGUAGUGCACUUACCA
rnacentral:misc_RNA from 1 species